rnacentral:lncRNA from 1 species
GCACUGGACUUCCCACUCUGAGGAAUUAUUUUGGGGAAACAGAAGGUAGCCUUCAGGACAUUCCAUCACCUCUGCCAGCAUUUUGUAUCAUAUCAAUUGUUUCUUGGGAACAGAACAGGGGAGAUCUUUGUCUUCUGCCCUCCAUUCAUCAAGUUCAUCUUUUUCUCAG